rnacentral:tmRNA from 2 species
GGGGGCGACCAGGUUUCGACGGGAGGGAUUGACGCCUGAGCUGCGCGCCGGGGACGCCACUAGGCCCCGUUAUCAAUGUGGCAAAACACACCAGCCGACACUGAGCUGGCUCUCGCGGCCUAACCGCUAGCGAGCGUCCCCCCCGUCCUCGUCCGCGGGACGGGACCGGGACGCCAUAACGCGGACUAGCUUCCGGGGCCUCCGGUCCGAAGGCCCCGGCGGCGAAACCCAACCGGACUAGCCCGGGGGAGGGCCCCGCCGGCGGGCAUGCUCCCGGGCGAAACCCAAAUGCGCCGGACACGCGCGUAGACGCUCACGGCAGAAGCCUUUCGGACGCGGGUUCGAUUCCCGCCGCCUCCACCA